CGGCCGACUCUUCCGCCGGGACCGCCUCCUUUUCACCAGCACCUGUUCAACCGGAACAUCAAGGGGCCGGGGCCCGCCGUCUCCCCGCCCUUCGCGUCUAUUUAGUACCUUUCAUCCGGGAAGGGAGGGGGUGAAUCCCCGCCCUGGAGGGGGAUGGAGGGCGGGGGAGAACUUGUCCUUGACCUGGUCUGUGGCGUCAGGGAUUUACUCCCUUAAUCCCGGCAAAGCUAGAGUUUGAGGAGGUUGGGGAGGCCGAGUUCUGGGCUGCGGCCACCACCUUCCCUUUCUCCUGCAGGGACGCGGAGUUCCGGAGGGCUGCCGGGACGAAGAGGUUGUCUGGACGGGCGGGGCGGGGGGAGGCCGGGCUCUGCGGCUUCCGAGCCCGGGGAGGGGGCCUCCAGCCCGGGGACUGUCGAGAGGGAGGGAGGGGGGUCUGCAGUUUGGGGUCGCUGCGAGGACGGCCACGCGCGGGCAUCUUGGUCUGCCCUGUGAACUUCGCUCAGACGAAAAGUUCAACCAGACCCAGACGGGAAGUCUCAGGAAAUUACCUUUACUGACAAGAAUAACACGCCGAGAACAUUAAGCGCAAACAUGUCAGCCCUAGCCAUUCGCCAGCAGAGCGGCUUGGAGGCAUCUGGGCAGCUGGGAGCCUGAGCUCAUUAUCUUCCCCUCCAACCUGCUUGUCUCUUCCUGCAUCCCACCCGCGAGUCAGCAUCAGCCGGGCCUCCGUUCCCCGCCUCCCUGUGGCCAGUUGCCUACAAAUGCUGCUGAUUCCGCCUCGAAUACCUGUCCACACUUGUGGUCACUGCUUUCCUGAGGUCGUCACCAUCCUUUGCGGCGACACUGGAUUACGUGCUGGUCCUAAAGAAGAAACUUCUCAGCCAAGGAAUCAGCGGUCAUCAGCGGAGCCCGCCAAUCAGCCCAUCAGCAUCCGAGUGGAGCUGGCAGUGGGCUCAGGCGCGGGAGGAAGCCUGAAUGUAAUCAAGCCUGGAGAUCUAAUUCCCAGUUGACAGGAAGCAGAGGGUACACAACACAACCAGAAAGCAACCAGACAAAUCUAGAAGGUGGGACAUGGCGUGUGUAAUUUACUUAAAAUACUUUAUUUAGCAAUUCAACAACUCAGUGCAUAGGGGAGAAGCGCUACUCUAGAUUUAAAUGAGGCUUAAGAGAUAUAACCACAUGCAACACGCAGAUCUUAUCUAGAUCCUGGUGGAAACAAACCAAGUGUGAAAGAAGCAUUUUGGGGGGCACCAUUAGGGGAAUUUGAAUAUGGGCUGGUUCUUAGAUGAUUUUAAGGGGUUCUUGUUAAUUUUGUAAGGUGUGGUUAUAAUAUUGUAGUAAGAAAACUUCCUGAAGUAUUUAAGAGCGAACAGUCGUGAAAACUCUAAAUAACUUGAAAAGAUUACAGUAAAAAUGAUAAAUAUGCUAAAAUGUUAAUAACGAUUACCAUGACUACCUAUUUAGGUAAUGGGCAUAUGGAGUUCAUUUCACGAUUCUCUACUUUUUUCCCCCUUCAGUUUGAAGUGUGUAUAAUGAAAAAGUUUAAAAUAUGGAUUUGAGUGUCAACUAUGUACUCAUGACUGAGCUAAGGCAAAAAUCUAAUGUGGUCCUUAUCUCCCUGAAACAUGGAGUGUGUCAGGGGUGAGGUGAGUAAUCAAUUCAUCACAAUGAUCUAUGAACAGUGACAAGUGAAUGAACACGCAUGAAGGAAGGAACACAGAUCUCCAGGGGGGAUAAUGGUGGAAGCUGACCUGGUCACAGCCCACAGCGGGGGGAGAGGUUUUCUCUGAGGCAGGAAUGAUUCAGGGGAGCUCAGAAUAGGAGCAGGUGUGGGCCAGGCACAGGAGAAGGGCAGUGGGCGAAGUGCACAGUCAGAAGGAACAGUAUGUGCUAAGGUAGGCGAGGAGGGAUCUUGUUGCUUUAGGCACUCAAGGUGGUCUGGGCAGCUGA